AAAUAAUACAAUUAAAUUAUUUUAGUUUUAAUUAAUUGAUAAUUUUGAAUUUAAAUUAUAAAUUUAAUAAGUGAAAUUUUAAAUUUUAUAAAGAUUUAUAUUUUGUUAAUGAUUUAAGAAAUUUUAAUAAUAGACUAGGAUUAGAUACCCUAUUAUUUAAAAUGUAAUUUUAAAAGCUAAAUUAGUAUAAGAUAUGUUCUCGAAAAUUAAAGAUUUUGGCGGUAUUUUAGUCUAUUCAGAGGAACCUGUUCUAUAAUUGAUAAUCCACGAUUUAAUUUACUUGCUUUAUUAAUUUAUAUAUCGUCGUAGUUUGAAUAUUUUAGUAGAAUUUUAAUAUUCAAGAUUUUUAAUAAUAAAAAAAAUCAGAUCAAGGUGUAGUUUAUAAGUAAGAAGAAAUGGGUUACUAUAAUAAAAAUUUAGGAUAAUUAUUUUUGAAUAUAAUUUGAAUAAGGAUUUGAAGGUAAUUUUAAUUAAUUAAUUAAAAUGAUUUUAGCUCUAAAAUAUGUACACAUCGCCCGUCACUCUUAC
rnacentral:rRNA from 1 species